rnacentral:rRNA from 1 species
AGCGAAUGGAUUAAGAGCUUGCUCUUAUGAAGUUAGCGGCGGACGGGUGAGUAACACGUGGGUAACCUACCCAUAAGACUGGGAUAACUCCGGGAAACCGGGGCUAAUACCGGAUAAUAUUUUGAACUGCAUAGUUCGAAAUUGAAAGGCGGCUUCGGCUGUCACUUAUGGAUGGACCCGCGUCGCAUUAGCUAGUUGGUGAGGUAACGGCUCACCAAGGCGACGAUGCGUAGCCGACCUGAGAGGGUGAUCG